rnacentral:rRNA from 1 species
UACAGAGGUCUCAACCGUUGUUCGGAUUCAUUGGGCGUAAAGGGUGCGUAGGCGGUCGUGCAAGUCGGAUGUGAAAUCUCAGGGCUCAACCCUGAAACUGCAUUCGAUACUGCGUGGCUAGAGUGCUGGAGAGGAGACUGGAAUUUACGGUGUAGCAGUGAAAUGCGUAGAUAUCGUAAGGAAGACCAGUGGCGAAGGCGGGUCUCUGGACAGUUCCUGACACUGAGGCACGAAGGCCAGGGGAGCAAACGGG